ACCGGGAUUGCCUCAGUAACGGCGAGUGAAGCGGCAAGAGCUCAAAUUUGAAAGCUGGCCCCUCCGGGGUCCGCGUUGUAAUUUGCAGAGGAUGCUUCGGGCUCAGCCCCCGUCUAAGUGCCCUGGAACGGGCCGUCGGAGAGGGUGAGAAUCCCGUCUGGGACGGGGUGCCUGGGUCCAUGUGAAGCUCCUUCGACGAGUCGAGUUGUUUGGGAAUGCAGCUCUAAAUGGGUGGUAAAUUUCAUCUAAAGCUAAAUACUGGCCGGAGACCGAUAGCGCACAAGUAGAGUGAUCGAAAGAUGAAAAGCACUUUGAAAAGAGAGUUAAACAGCACGUGAAAUUGUUGAAAGGGAAGCGCUUGCGAUCAGACUCGCCUGCGGGGUUCAGCCGGCAUUCGUGCCGGUGUACUUCCCCGUGGGCGGGCCAGCGUCGGUUCGGGUGGCCGGUCAAAGGCCCCGGGAAUGUGUCGCCCUCCGGGGCGUCUUAUAGCCCGGGGUGCCAUGCGGCCUACCUGGACCGAGGAACGCGCUUCGGCUCGGACGCUGGCGUAAUGGUCGUAAGCGACCCGUCUUGAAACACGGACCAAGGAGUCUAACAUCUACGCGAGUGUUUGGGUGGCAAACCCAUACGCGCAGUGAAAGCGAACGGAGGUGGGAACCCUUCGGGGCGCACCAUCGACCGAUCCUGAUGUCUUCGGAUGGAUUUGAGUAAGAGCGUAGCUGUGGGGACCCGAAAGAUGGUGAACUAUGCCUGAAUAGGGCGAAGCCAGAGGAAACUCUGGUGGAGGCUCGCAGCGGUUCUGACGUGCAAAUCGAUCGUCAAAUUUGGGUAUAGGGGCGAAAGACUAAUCG
rnacentral:rRNA from 1 species